AACGAACGCUGGCGGCAGGCCUAUCACAUGCAAGUCGAACGCUGUAGCAAUACAGAGUGGCAGACGGGUGAGUAACGCGUGGGAACGUGCCUUUCGGUUCGGAAUAACUCAGGGAAACUUGAGCUAAUACCGGAUACGCCCUUCGGGGGAAAGAUUUAUUGCCGAAAGAUCGGCCCGCGUCCGAUUAGCUAGUUGGUGUGGUAAUGGCGCACCAAGGCGACGAUCGGUAGCUGGUCUGAGAGGAUGAUCAGCCACACUGGGACUGAGACACGGCCCAGACUCCUACGGGAGGCAGCAGUGGGGAAUAUUGGACAAUGGGCGCAAGCCUGAUCCAGCCAUGCCGCGUGAGUGAUGAAGGCCCUAGGGUUGUAAAGCUCUUUCGCCAGGGACGAUAAUGACGGUACCUGGAUAAGAAGCCCCGGCUAACUUCGUGCCAGCAGCCGCCGUAACAC
rnacentral:rRNA from 1 species